AUACGGAGGGUGCAAGCGUUAUCCGGAAUUAUUGGGUUUAAAGGGUCCGUAGGCGGCUAGAUAAGUCAGUGGUGAAAUUCUCUCGCUCAACGAGAGACCUGCCAUUGAUACUGUCUUGGCUAGAGUUACAGUGAGGUGAGUGGAAUGUGUGGUGUAGCGGUGAAAUGCAUAGAUAUCACACAGAACACCGAUUGCGAAGGCAGCUCACUAACUGUAUACUGACGCUGAUGGACGAAAGCGUGGGGAGCGAACAGGAUUAGAAACCCUAGUAGUCC
rnacentral:rRNA from 1 species